CGUUUUCGAUUGGUUUCGAUCGAUUUCGAUUGGCUUUAUUAAACGUCAAUUGGAUUAGUUUCGAUCACAACAUUGGCUGAGUGAACAACAAUUUACCAAUCGAAAUCGAUUGAAACCGAUUCCAAUUGGCUGUUGAACGGACUUAUUUUCUCCGGAAUCUGCCGCGCAACCACCAGACAGCACCGAAAUCACAAAACGUACCCGGCGUAGGAAAGUUUCGACAUCUUUGAGAGGACAACGACAGUGGACUCUUAGGGCAAUCAUUCAUCCAACUAAUUGGAAGCAGUAACUGUAUACCGACUGUUCCGGUCCUUCAACUAUGCGGUUGCAAUCGCUUCCGGUCCGAUCCAAGACCGAAAAAAUCGCCGAAACCAUUCAUCAAUUGUUCAGAUGGAACUGUCGGCCAAUAAACAUCGUCCAGUGCAAUAUGAACCGGUUCAAGAACUUGUAUCGUGGAAAAUCGAUUAUCUAAUUGAUUAACAUAUUAACAUAUGUACUUCAAGAGAAAUAAAAUGUUUUAUUCUAAUUGAUUUCUUUUUAUUUCUAAUAGGAUGAAAAUUAU